rnacentral:ncRNA from 1 species
UUAGGUCGUAAAUGUUAAAGGUUAAAAAGAGAGGUAAGUUUGAUUCUUGCUUAAUCAUUAAUUUUAAGUAUAUUUUAUAUGUAAGGUUUUCUCUUAAUGUGUUAAUGGGUUUGCAAUAUUUUUAAUUGAAUAUCAAGGGGUCUUGGAUUUGGUAAUAAUUUUUGUAUUGGUUAAUUUUGUGCCAGCAGCCGCGGUUAUACAUUAGAUGCUAAUUAAUGAGGUUUAUUUUGUAGUUUUUGGGUUAUUUUGAUGUUGAUUUUCUUUGCUUAGGUGGAAUUAUGAUGUUAUUUGUUAUUAUGUAGGCUACGAGGCUCUUUUAAUAGACUAGGAUUAGAUACCCUAUUAUUUUGAGUGUGAAGAAGUUAUUUUGAGUAGUAUUAGUUAUGUUCUUGAAACUUAAAGAAUUUGGCGGUAUUUUAGUCCCUUUAGAGGAAUCUGUCUUGUAAUCGAUAUUCCGCGUUGUACCUUUCUUUGAUUAUCUUUGUAUACCUCCGUUAUGAGAAGAUUUUUUUAGGAUUAUUAAUUUUCUUGUUUUUUUGUAAAGUUUUAUUUCAGGUCAAGGUGCAGGUAAUAUUCAAGUUUGGAUGGAUUACGUUGUUUUUUAAUUUUUUUGGUUUCAUUUUGUAAAUUUUGAUUAAAUCGGAUUUAAUUGUAAUAUUAUGUAGAUUGUUAUUUUGAAAAGGCUCUUUAAUAUGUACACAUCGCCCGUCACUCUCGUUUUUAUUAUGAGAAAAGUCGUAACAUAGUGGUCGUACCGGAAGGUGUGGCUGGGAUAAGU